AUAUGUAUUUAUCAUAUACUUAGCAUUGAUAUGAUAGCUUUUGCAUAAGUGUAAUGAGCGGAAGUACACAAGCCAUAAUUUCCCACCCGGGCUGAUAACCCAUAUCAGGUGCAUCUCGUGCACAAAACCCAUAAUAGUGCCUCUCGUGCAAGUUACUUCCGGUGUUUCCGGUAUCGGUUGUUUACUUUUCCAUUGUGACGUCAGAUAUUUUUUAUGACGACGUCAAAAUUUACGGGAACUUUUGUUGGGAUAGUUUAAUACUUGCUAACAAAUGCCGUAGACAAUUAUGAAUCAUUUUAUAGUACAACAAACAUGGAGUAGUAAUGAUCGUAAAGCUCUUCCAAAUUU
rnacentral:lncRNA from 1 species